CUGGGCCCCGCCCCCUUCCCGUCCCGUGAGGCAGCCGUGUGGGGUGUGGGGGGCGCGCAGAUUCUCUCUCCUCACCGCGGCUGCUGCUGGAGGAUGAAGGAGGGGUGGUGGUAGCAAUUCAAGACUGUCUUUCCUACCCUCUUCAGUGCCUUUCCUUGAUAAGCUGUUUAAACCAGAAGGCAGAGUGGCACAUGUGGCACCUGAUUGGGAUGGACUCACUAAAGGAUUUAACCCAGACUUCUGAUCCGCAAAUAUUACUGCUACAUUAACUGAUUUGCAACAAAGAAAGAAAACAUCAUCCAGUUGAUUUUAUUAUUUAAAUAUGGGCUCAAACCUUAAAUCUGACAAACUAAUAAAUA